UACAGAGGGGGCAAGCGUUGUUCGGAAUUACUGGGCGUAAAGGGCGCGUAGGUGGCCUUCUAAGUUGAACGUGAAAUCCCUGGGCUCAACCCAGGAACUGCGUCCAAGACUGGGAGGCUUGAAUCCGGGAGAGGGAUGCGGAAUUCCAGGUGUAGCGGUGAAAUGCGUAGAUAUCUGGAGGAACACCGGUGGCGAAGGCGGCGCUCUGGACCGAGACUGACGCUGAGGCGCGAAAGCGUGGGGAGCAAACAGG
rnacentral:rRNA from 1 species